GAUGAAGAACGUAGCGAAAUGCGAUAAGUAAUGUGAAUUGCAGAAUUCAGUGAAUCAUCGAAUCUUUGAACGCACAUUGCGCCCCUUGGUAUUCCGAGGGGCAUGCCUGUUCGAGCGUCAUUUCAACCCUCAAGCACAGCUUGGUCUUGGGCUUCGCCGCUAACCCGGCGGGUCUUAAAAUCAGUGGCGGUGCCGUCGGGCCCUGAGCGCAGUAAUCUCUCUCGCUAUAGGGACCCGGCGGAUGCUGGCCAGUAACCCCAAUUUUCUAUGGUUGACCUCGGAUCAGGUAGGGAUACCCGCUGAACUUAAGCAUAUCAAUAAGCGGAGGA
rnacentral:misc_RNA from 1 species